AGAGCCUUGAUUUCUUCUCUUCAAAGUCCUUGAUCCUUUUUUCAAAAAUGCUGAUCAUUCACUACUGCAGCUGAAACAUACCUAUGCUGGACAGAGAGAGUACCUGUGAAAUUCGUAAGAGAAAAGUGAAGUGAGAGUCUCUAAGAACUGGGCUGGCAUAUAAACACUCCCGUACAUUCCUGCAUAAACAUGUUGGCCUCAUUGUUUAGACUGUUUCAGUGAGAAGCUGAGCUGCUGCCAUCUCUUCUCCAGUGCUUUGUGUGAGGAACAAAAGCUGGAGCCAGGUUAAGGAGAGCUCUUGCAAAGAUUUUUAUUAAAGUAUAAGCAACACGAAGAACAAAAAUUAUCAAUGCUGCUAAUUACACAUCUUCUAAUGACUUUGACAUCUCUAGAAAGGAAUUCCUCUCACCACGACAGGAUAAGAUUUGAAUAGUUUUUGUCAAGAUGACUACUCCCCUAAAUGAUUCAAAUAUUAUUAGAGCAGAAUUAAGUGAUGUGCAAUUCCCGCCUGUGAGCCAAAAAUAGUUUCUCAUUUGAACACCAAGAUGUAGAGGGUUAUUGAUUAUAAAUUAAAAUAUUAUAAGCAAA